AUUGAACGCUGGCGGCAGGCUUAACACAUGCAAGUCGAGCGGAGAUGAGGUGCUUGCACCUUAUCUUAGCGGCGGACGGGUGAGUAAUGCUUAGGAAUCUGCCUAUUAGUGGGGGACAACAUUCCGAAAGGAAUGCUAAUACCGCCUACGUCCUACGGGAGAAAGCAGGGGAUCUUCUGACCUUGCGCUAAUAGAUGAGCCUAAGUCGGAUUAGCUAGUUGGUGGGGUAAAGGCCUACCAAGGCGACGAUCUGGAGCGGAUCUGAGAGGAUGAUCCGCCACACUGGGACUGAGACACGGCCCAGACUCCUACGGGAGGAAGCAGUGGGGAAUAUUGGACAAUGGGGGGAACCCUGAUCCAGCCAUGCCGCGUGUGUGAAGAAGGCCUUAUGGUUGUAAAGCACUUUAAGCGAGGAGGAGGCUACUGAGACUAAUACUCUUGGAUAGUGGACGUUACUCGCAGAAUAAGCACCGGCUAACUCUGUGCCAGCCGCCGCGGUAA
rnacentral:rRNA from 1 species